CCUUUUGUUUAUUUAUUUAAGGUCUGACCUGCCCAAUGAGGAAUUGAAUGGCCGCAGUAUUUUAACUGUGCUAAGGUAGCAUAAUCAUUUGUCUUUUAAUUGAGGGCUGGAAUGAAGGGUUGGACGAGGUAUUAACUUUCUUUGAUUUAAUGAGGAGAAUUUAAUUUUUGAGUUAAAAAGCUUAAAUUUAUUUGUGGGACGAGAAGACCCUAUAGAUCUUUAUAGUUUUAUAUUUUAAUAAUUUGGUGAUUUAUUUGUUUUAAGUAGAUGAACUAUUUUGUUGGGGUGACUGUAGAAUUUAAAUAACUUCUAUUAUUUUAUUUCAUUAAUUAAUGUUUUUGUGAUCCAUAUUUUAUGAUUAUAAGAUUAAG
rnacentral:rRNA from 1 species